AAAAAGGUACGUUUUUACCCCUUUCCCCCUUCCAGAGCCGGGCGGGAGUAGGACCCUGAGGGUGGGGGCACCCUCAAGGUGCUAUAGUGCAAGGAAAACGAGUAUGUCUUCCUGGCACUAUAGUGGUCCUUUAAACCUGGAGGCUCAACCAUCAAGGGAGUGUGAUAGUUGCAGGUUAAGGCCGAAUGAUGUUUCUCAAUACAU